rnacentral:rRNA from 1 species
GGCGGGUGCCUAAUACAUGCAAGUCGAACGAACUCUGGUAUUGAUUGGUGCUUGCAUCAUGAUUUACAUUUGAGUGAGUGGCGAACUGGUGAGUAACACGUGGGAAACCUGCCCAGAAGCGGGGGAUAACACCUGGAAACAGAUGCUAAUACCGCAUAACAACUUGGACCGCAUGGUCCGAGCUUGAAAGAUGGCUUCGGCUAUCACUUUUGGAUGGUCCCGCGGCGUAUUAGCUAGAUGGUGGGGUAACGGCUCACCAUGGCAAUGAUACGUAGCCGACCUGAGAGGGUAAUCGGCCACAUUGGGACUGAGACACGGCCCAAACUCCUACGGGAGGCAGCAGUAGGGAAUCUUCCACAAUGGACGAAAGUCUGAUGGAGCAACGCCGCGUGAGUGAAGAAGGGUUUCGGCUCGUAAAACUCUGUUGUUAAAGAAGAACAUAUCUGAGAGUAACUGUUCAGGUAUUGACGGUAUUUAACCAGAAAGCCACGGCUAACUACGUGCCAGCAGCCGCGGUAAUACGUAGGUGGCAAGCGUUGUCCGGAUUUAUUGGGCGUAAAGCGAGCGCAGGCGGUUUUUUAAGUCUGAUGUGAAAGCCUUCGGCUCAACCGAAGAAGUGCAUCGGAAACUGGGAAACUUGAGUGCAGAAGAGGACAGUGGAACUCCAUGUGUAGCGGUGAAAUGCGUAGAUAUAUGGAAGAACACCAGUGGCGAAGGCGGCUGUCUGGUCUGUAACUGACGCUGAGGCUCGAAAGUAUGGGUAGCAAACAGGAUUAGAUACCCUGGUAGUCCAUACCGUAAACGAUGAAUGCUAAGUGUUGGAGGGUUUCCGCCCUUCAGUGCUGCAGCUAACGCAUUAAGCAUUCCGCCUGGGGAGUACGGCCGCAAGGCUGAAACUCAAAGGAAUUGACGGGGGCCCGCACAAGCGGUGGAGCAUGUGGUUUAAUUCGAAGCUACGCGAAGAACCUUACCAGGUCUUGACAUACUAUGCAAAUCUAAGAGAUUAGACGUUCCCUUCGGGGACAUGGAUACAGGUGGUGCAUGGUUGUCGUCAGCUCGUGUCGUGAGAUGUUGGGUUAAGUCCCGCAACGAGCGCAACCCUUAUUAUCAGUUGCCAGCAUUAAGUUGGGCACUCUGGUGAGACUGCCGGUGACAAACCGGAGGAAGGUGGGGAUGACGUCAAAUCAUCAUGCCCCUUAUGACCUGGGCUACACACGUGCUACAAUGGAUGGUACAACGAGUUGCGAACUCGCGAGAGUAAGCUAAUCUCUUAAAGCCAUUCUCAGUUCGGAUUGUAGGCUGCAACUCGCCUACAUGAAGUCGGAAUCGCUAGUAAUCGCGGAUCAGCAGCCG